CUCUGUUCAGAGCCUAAAUCAGAGCACAUACACACACUAAUAAGAUGUUGCUUGGAAAGAGACAGCGACCACCGAUCAACAGAACAACUAGCCUGUCCGAGAUAAAGUUCGAUCUAAACCUUCCCAGCGAAUCAGACGUACCAUCAACUCAGCAGAGUCCAAGCCAAAAUACUGUGGUGGGACUGUCCGGUUCCAACGGUCAAUACGUAGCAGCAGCCGUCGAUCCACGGUACUUAGCUAUGGUCUCACCGAGAGGUAACCUGAGGAGACACUCAGGCGAGUUUUCCGACGCUGGACAUUUCUUGAGAUCUUGCUCCCUAUGUGAACGCUUACUUGUUCCUGGCCGUGACAUCUAUAUGUACAGGUAUGUAUAUGAACCAAAUAAUAAUUAAAACUGCAGACUCUUGAAUCUUGAUCAUAGAGUCUAUUCGUUAAAAUGAAAGUAAAUUUUCUUGCAUCAAAUUUUAGCAAAAAAAAACAAAACAAAAAGUAAAUUUUCUUUUUACACUACAAGAAUAAAGCUCACACUCGAAACUUUUGUGACAAUUCAUGUUGUCGGAAGUUUUUUGUCGGAGUACACAACGUUUUCUUGUAGUGUUACCUUUUAACCGUUUUAUGAGUGUCUGAUUUUUGGAAUCCAAACCCUAACAAAAAGUACAAUAAGUAGCUCCGGAAGAUAUUAGGCUUCCCUAAUUUGGCUGAUUUAUGUUUAUUUAAUUUGUUGUUUAUAAUUGGAAUGUUGUAUAAUUUUUAUUAUUAAUUUUUGUCAUUAAAAUGGCAGGGGAGAUACGGCCUUUUGUAGCUCAGAGUGCAGGGAACAGCAAAUGACACAAGACGAGGGGAAAGAGAAAGUUAAGCCGGCGAAAGAAUCGGGGGUACCAGCCAGAGCCAAACCCGGCAGAGGUAGAGCUGCAGCCGCCGUGUGAUCCUCCUCCCCACCCCAUAUUCACAUACAUUAUAUAGUUAUAUACUAUGUAUUAUGUGUGGCUUGUUAUGUGUUUGUAUAUGAUUAUGAUGUAAUACAUAUUCAAAGCAUUGAGCGUCAAUUAACCUGUUGUUAAUCACUCUCGUGUGUUGUGGUGCAUGGAAUUGGAUGUUUUUUACGAGGGUUUAAAUUUUACAAGUUUUGAUCUAUUUGAAACUAUAAUUCAAAUGAAUGUAAGACUUGUGUUAUUUUAAUGAGAAAAUUUAAGAUUUGAAGUAUACAAUGAUUUUAUGCGGGUGAGGUUGCAGUUUAAGAGAUUGAAUCUAGAUAUUUAGAAUCAACGAUAAAAACAAAAUAUUAACAGUAGUCAUUUGUAUCAGAAGCUAGAUAUCAUCGGAGAUUACGAAGAAACCUUAAAAAAAAAAUAGAAAGCUUCAGACUUGUAUGGCAUUUCUACUAGUGGUUAGAUAGAUGGACUAUAGCAAUGUUCAAGAAAUAACUAGGCGGUAACUAGGCUAAGACUAAGGACUAGAAAGAUUAUUUUUCAACAAUGUCUUUGUCAUUUUGAUCUGUUAGAUUUGAUAAAUACUGAUAACUCUCGGAUAGAGUAUUAGAACGAAAGUAUCCAUUGGUUCUAAACCUAUCUUUGGCGCUGAAUCAACAAUUCGAAAUGCUUUUGUUGGGUAUUAUUCUUGAUAUUAUUUGGGGCCUAGCUUAUCCAUUUAUGAAAUAUAUAUUUAUAUAAAUAAUUUAGUUUUUGUGUUUAAUUAUUAAAUUAUUUUUGAUGAAUUAUCAAAAUUAGAUAUAUAUGAAAAUUAGACAAAUUUGUACUAACAUUAUUAAUUUAGAUCGAUCUAAACUGAUUUUAACCGAGUUAGAACCAUUUAAACGGAUUAGUAUUUUGAAUGUUUUGAUAAUUGAAAGUGCGACUGUUUAUUAGGUUUUAGCUGUGCCUAUGUUGGCUCCUCGGUCAUACACAAGGGAAGAUGUAGUUGAGCUCCAGUGUCACGGUAGCGAGGUUUGUCUGCGGCGUGUUUUGAGGGCGUGUGUUGACGCUGGAGCAAGAUUAGCAGAACCAGGUCAGAAACUAUCUUCUGUGUCCAUCCUUGUAUUAUAAGAUGUUUUGGCUAUAGAUUCUGAAUCUUUUUAUUUUUGACCAGGAGAGUUUACACUUCGUGCGUUUCUAAAUGGACGUUUAGACCUUACACAAGCUGAAAACGUUGAGAAACUUAUCUCAGCCAAGUCUUCUGCCGCUGCAGAUGCCGCUUUGGAAGGGAUUCAGGCAUAAUAACAUCUCUACACUCCUUGUCGUCUAAAUAUAUUAUUUGAUCAUUGUUAUAUAACUAACUACAAGUGUUGUUGUUCUUCUUUUUAGGGAGGUUUUUCGUCUUUGGUCAAAUCAUUAAGAGCGCAAUGCAUUGAGCUCCUCACUGAAAUAGAAGCUCGUUUGGAUUUCGAUGACGAGAUGCCUCCAUUGGAUACAGACUUGGUUAUAAGCAAAAUAAACAAAAUGUCUGAAGAUGUAGAGAGCGCGUUAGAUACAGCAAACUAUGACAAGCUUCUUCAAACCGGGUUGCAGGUAAAAAAGACACUCACGCAAGCUUCUUCUUGUUCAUGCUUGAAGCUUUGGUAAUAUCAUUUGUCUUACAGGUAGCUAUUAUUGGGCGACCGAACGUAGGGAAAUCGAGUCUUUUGAAUGCUUGGAGCAAAGUAUGGAACAUAAAUGAUCAUUUUCAUUAUCUUUUAACAGAGUUUAUUCAAAUAGAAUUAAAUUACAUUUUCAACUGGUGAUUUAACUUUAGCGUGCAGAGUGAGAGAGCCAUUGUUACGGAAGUUGCUGGAACUACACGUGACGUAGUGGAAGCUAGUGUUACACUCCGUGGCGUGCCUGUCACUCUUCUUGACACUGCUGGUAUCAGAGAAACCAAUGACAUUGUCGAAAAAAUAGGUAAGGUGUUCUAAUCAUUGUUCAAAAAAUUGCUAGGUAGAAAUGCUUUCUAUAAGUCUAGAGACUAGCGGAUUAUUCAGAGACUAUUAUUUGUUUAUUUAUUAGUAUAAAUUAUAUAUUUACAUGAUAUUUAAAAUAUUUUAGAUUUAAUUAUAAACUUUUCGUGAUUGAUUUUAGAAUCUAGAUAUACAGAAAAAAUGAAAUCAGACAAAUUUGUGAACGUACACUAGCAUUGUUAACUGAUUUAACCAAUAUACACGGAUUUAGAUUGAAUUAGACCGAUUUUAACUGAUUUAAAACAGCUUAGACCAAGAAAAUUGUUUUCGUAUAUUUUAAAAUAAUUAUUCAACGAUUAAUUGCCAAAGCUCAGAUCUUCUGUGAUGAAUAACUGCAGGAGUUGAGAGAUCAGAAACAGCAGCUAAACUUGCUGAUAUAAUAAUCAUGGCGGUGAAUGCUGUUGAAGGCUGGACUGAAGAAGACACUGAGCUUCUACAUAAGAUACAAUCUGACAAGGUAGUUAUUCAAUAUUACACUUCUUCCUCUUCUUAGUUCUUACCACUGCUCUUAUGUUGUGAUCUUUGGUAAAUGAAACAGCCUAUGAUUCUGGUGAUAAACAAAAUCGACUCUGCUACUCCUGAUUGCUGUGAACUACUAGAAGAUAAGGAGGAAGAAGCUUUCCAUAGAUCUGUAUUUACAUCUGCUGUUACUGGUCAAGGAAUUGAAGAGCUUGAAGAAGCAAUACUGGAGAUUCUUGGUCUUGAUCGUGUCCCUAGUGGAGGACAUCAAUGGACAGUGAAUCAGGUCUUUCUCAUUUCUAAAAUGUAGCUUUGUCUUUAGCAGUUAACUUUUGAAUGUUGCAUUUAUCUCCCUUUUUGUGUGUGUUGUGUAUCAGAGACAAUGUGAGCAACUGGUGCGGACGAAAGAGGCGUUAGAGAGGCUGAGAGAAGCAAUCAAAGAUGAGCUUCCGAUUGAUUUCUGGACUAUUGAGCUUAGAGAAGCUGCUUUGGCGCUUGCUCAGAUCAGUGGCCAAGAUGUCUCUGAAGAGGUCUUAUCCUCCAUUUUUGCCAAGUUCUGUAUUGGUAAAUAAUAAAAUUCAUUGCUGCUUCAACUUAUGUUAGUGUUACAUACAAAACAAUAUAAGCAAAAACUAAUAUAUUGAGGUCAACUUCAAAUUUUAUUUUAAUGGAAAAGAAGUAAAUACGUGUGGGAUUUAAUGUGGUAACUAAAUGACCUGAUUGAUUUUGUUGCUUGUGAAUGAUUAUCAACGUUAAUUGAUAAACAACGUCAAAAAAAUAAUAAUGAAAGCGAAUAAUGAAAAGUAACCAACCCGACCAAACAAAAAUAAUGAAAGGUGUGGGCCAGAUGUUGAAGCCCACUACUGAAAGAGAAGAUGGCCCACUUUCAAUUACUGGGGAUUGAUAUUUGGAAUUGGGGGACCAGUUGUGUUUUGGUUACUGUGUAAUAAUAACCCUUUUUGUUGUUUGAACGAAUCAGCAACCAAAGAAAAAUAAAUAAAAAUUAACGUCUCUUCACUUUUUUGACUCACUUGUAUCCACUUGUCCUCUCAAUCAUACAUUCAUACCAAACUUCCAUGUCAGCUUCAGCUUCCCCUUCACUUUCAUUUACUAUCAUCAUUUCACAAAAUAAUAAUAAAGUUGAAUGUCACAUAAUUUUAAAAACUAAUUAGUCAUACUCAUAUGCUUGGUAUCACAUCUAAACAUAAAUCCGUGAUUUUCCAUUUCGAGUUAUGCAAUUGAUGUCGUCGAAGUACUCUCGAAUGAAUGCUAACGUUAUUUGUGUGUUGCAUUCAAAUGAAAUAUCUCUGGGCUGUUUAGACUAAUUGAAACAAAAUAUUACUCCAUCUGUUUCACAAAAAUAUUUUUUUUUACUAUUUUCACACAUAUUAAAAAAACAUAUUAAAUUAUCAUAUUAAAAUAUUACUCCAUUUGUUUCACAAAAUUAUUUUUUUUACUAUUUUUACACAUAUUAAAAAAAAUAUUAAAUUACCAUAAUAAAUAUAUCAUUUUCGGUAAUUUUUAAUUUUCAAUAAUUUUUAACCAAUAGUAAUACAAUAAAGUCAAUUAAUUUUCUUAAAGUUUACAAUUUUUUUCAUAGAAAACACAAAAAAAUACAUCUUUGAGAAACAAUUUUUUUUAAAAAAUAUAUAUCUUAGUGAAACGGAGUGAGUAUUAUUUUAAUUUUAUUUUCAAUGCCGUCUAUAGUGUCACAUAAAUAAACUUGUAAUGGUUUUUGUUUAGUAAAGAGAUUACGAUUCGAAUCUUCUCAAUUUCAGUAAUGGUUGGCCAUUAAUAGAAAACUCCUUAAUUAUCUAGCAAAGAUACGUGGGGGGUUUCAUAGAUUCUGAAUACUUCAUGGCAUAUAUGUUGGCUUCCGUGAUAUAUAUAAAUAUUUUAGACGAUUACUUGUCUUUUUAUUAAGAUAGCACUAACAGUUUUGUAAUUACGAGCUAUAUAAAGUUCUUGUAUGUUCUUAUUAAACAAAAUUUAUUGUUAACUUUGAAGUCUAUAUAGGCCAUAAUCUCUUUUGUCUGGUACUCGAGUUUGAGGGUAGAAUGGAUAGGUUGAUCUUUUCUACUGUAUUGAUGCUUCAGUUUUGUUUACUAAACUAAACUAUAACUUCUACCUUUUUAAUUAAUACUUAUUACUUACACAAUUAUAUUAUCAUUUAAGAUUUAAAAGGUCAAGAACAAGAUUUAAGAAGUUACAAACAGUUUUUUAGCGAAAAAAAGUUACAAACAUUUUACCAGAUGAAACAGGCCGGGCUGGCUACUAUAUAUCUUCUCAGUGACUUAUACAUAAGUUUUGAAAUAACGUCAUAUCAAACCUUUUCACCCUGACCUAAGCAGAAAUAAAAUAAACUCAUGCUGAUCUCAUUUUCUAAAUUAUCAUUUUAAUCUUCGAGGCUUACAACGUCGAGACCGACCAUUUUGGUACAGUGUGCCGCUCUGUUUUAUCUCUAGUUUUCUGUAAAAAGAGGUGACAAUGCACCAAUCAGAACAAGCUCCUGUUGUGAUUUUCGAUCACAAAGCUUUUUUUUUUUAAAGGCAAGUAGGCUUUUGAGUUUUGAGGAGUAUCUUCCCCAUGCAAAAUAUGCUCAACAUUUUUUGUUUGGUCAUUAAAUCGUCUACAAAUAAAUGUAAGGUAAAUGUUGAAGUUUGGUGAGAGAUAUGAGGCAUGUGAACAUUGUGAAGUGGAGAAACGAGAGGAGGCUCUAUAAAACUGCAAAGGCCAAAUUGAAUUAUAAACAUUGUUGUCAUUUGUCAAGAAGGUGGUCCAUUUUUAAUAGCCGAGACGUGAGGAACCAAAUAACAACAUUUCCCUUUCAAUUUUCAUUUACUUCCAGAAUUAUUUUCUACUAUAUGUUUGUUAUUAUUUCGAAUUUGAAAUAAGUUUUUUUUUUGUAAUUAUUAUUGUUUCUUUUGGCUAUAUUUCGAGUGAAGAAAAUGACUGGAUGGAAUGGACAAUUAAUGCUCGAGGACAACUAUCUUUGAUGUGGAAAGUUAAUUAUUGUUAAUUCAGUGGGCCCAUCGUUUAGCCCAAUGGGCCCUUUUCGAAUGAUAUGUGAAAUUUUAUCUCUUUACCUGUUUAACCGCGGAGAAAAUAACUCUUUUAUUUUGUACCUUGUAUAGGCAGACAAUAACAUAGAAUCUUUACCGUAUUACACAAACUAGUUUUUGUUACAUGCAAAAUGUUUCUUGUCUUAAAAAUAUUAACUCCAGAACUCUGACGUGGCAUUAUCAUAAAGCGAACAUAUAAGAUCGGAAAAAAAAUCAACGGCUCAGAUUAAAACCUCAGCUUAUGAUUCUUCUUUAUCUACUCCCUCUCUUCUCCUUCCUCACUCCCUCCCCUCUUUCUCUCUUCCCUCGCUCUCUGUUCAGAGCCAAAAGCAGAGCACAUAUACACACACACUUACGAUGUUGCUUGGAAAGAGACAACGACCACCGAUCAACAGAACAACUAGCCUGUCCGAGAUUAAGUUCGAUCUGAACCUUCCCAGCGAAUCAGAGGUACCAUCAACUCAUCAGAGUCCAAACCAAAAUACUGUGGUGGGACCGUCCGGUUCCAACGGUCAACACGUAGCAGCAGCCGUCGAUCCACGUUUCUUGGCUAUGGUUUCACCGAGAGGUAACCUGAGGAGACACUCAGGCGAGUUUUCCGACGCUGGACAUUUCUUGAGAUCUUGCUCCCUAUGUGAACGCUUACUUGUUCCUGGCCGUGACAUCUAUAUGUACAGGUAUGUAUAUGAACCAAAUAAUAAUAAAAACCGCUGACUCUUGAAUCUCUGAUCAUAGAGAGAGAUAUUCGUUAAAAUGAGAGUAAUUUUUUUCUUUUUACUUUUUAACCGUUUAACGAGUGUCUUAUUUUUUUGAAUCCAAACCCUAACAAAAAGUACAAUAAUUAGUUCCGGAAGAUAUUAGGCUUCCCUAAUUUGGAUUUUUUUUUUUUAAAGGCAAGUAGGCUUUUGAGUUUUGAGGAGUAUCUUCCCCAUGCAAAAUAUGCUCAACAUUUUUUGUUUGGUCAUUAAAUCGUCUACAAAUAAAUGUAAGGUAAAUGUUGAAGUUUGGUGAGAGAUAUGAGGCAUGUGAACAUUGUGAAGUGGAGAAACGAGAGGAGGCUCUAUAAAACUGCAAAGGCCAAAUUGAAUUAUAAACAUUGUUGUCAUUUGUCAAGAAGGUGGUCCAUUUUUAAUAGCCGAGACGUGAGGAACCAAAUAACAACAUUUCCCUUUCAAUUUUCAUUUACUUCCAGAAUUAUUUUCUACUAUAUGUUUGUUAUUAUUUCGAAUUUGAAAUAAGUUUUUUUUUUGUAAUUAUUAUUGUUUCUUUUGGCUAUAUUUCGAGUGAAGAAAAUGACUGGAUGGAAUGGACAAUUAAUGCUCGAGGACAACUAUCUUUGAUGUGGAAAGUUAAUUAUUGUUAAUUCAGUGGGCCCAUCGUUUAGCCCAAUGGGCCCUUUUCGAAUGAUAUGUGAAAUUUUAUCUCUUUACCUGUUUAACCGCGGAGAAAAUAACUCUUUUAUUUUGUACCUUGUAUAGGCAGACAAUAACAUAGAAUCUUUACCGUAUUACACAAACUAGUUUUUGUUACAUGCAAAAUGUUUCUUGUCUUAAAAAUAUUAACUCCAGAACUCUGACGUGGCAUUAUCAUAAAGCGAACAUAUAAGAUCGGAAAAAAAAUCAACGGCUCAGAUUAAAACCUCAGCUUAUGAUUCUUCUUUAUCUACUCCCUCUCUUCUCCUUCCUCACUCCCUCCCCUCUUUCUCUCUUCCCUCGCUCUCUGUUCAGAGCCAAAAGCAGAGCACAUAUACACACACACUUACGAUGUUGCUUGGAAAGAGACAACGACCACCGAUCAACAGAACAACUAGCCUGUCCGAGAUUAAGUUCGAUCUGAACCUUCCCAGCGAAUCAGAGGUACCAUCAACUCAUCAGAGUCCAAACCAAAAUACUGUGGUGGGACCGUCCGGUUCCAACGGUCAACACGUAGCAGCAGCCGUCGAUCCACGUUUCUUGGCUAUGGUUUCACCGAGAGGUAACCUGAGGAGACACUCAGGCGAGUUUUCCGACGCUGGACAUUUCUUGAGAUCUUGCUCCCUAUGUGAACGCUUACUUGUUCCUGGCCGUGACAUCUAUAUGUACAGGUAUGUAUAUGAACCAAAUAAUAAUAAAAACCGCUGACUCUUGAAUCUCUGAUCAUAGAGAGAGAUAUUCGUUAAAAUGAGAGUAAUUUUUUUCUUUUUACUUUUUAACCGUUUAACGAGUGUCUUAUUUUUUUGAAUCCAAACCCUAACAAAAAGUACAAUAAUUAGUUCCGGAAGAUAUUAGGCUUCCCUAAUUUGGAUGAUUUAUGUUUAUUUAAUUUGUUGUUUAUCAUUGGAAUAUUGUAUAAUUUUUUAUAAUUAAUUUUUGUCAUUAAAAUGGCAGGGG
rnacentral:lncRNA from 1 species